rnacentral:rRNA from 1 species
AGGAUGAACGCUGGCGGCGUGCUUAACACAUGCAAGUCGAACGAGGUCCAUGGAGCUUGCUCCGGAAGACCUAGUGGCGAACGGGUGCGUAACACGUGAGAAACCUGCCCCGAUCUCUGGGAUAACAGUUGGAAACGACUGCUAAUACUGGAUGCCGUCACACCGCUUCAUGGCGGAGUGACGAAAGUAUUCAUCGGAUCGGGAGGGUCUCGCGGCCUAUCAGCUAGUUGGAGAGGUAACGGCUCACCAAGGCAUCGACGGGUAGCUGGUCUGAGAGGAUGAUCAGCCACGACUGGGACUGAGACACGGCCCAGACUCCGUACGGGAGGCAGCAGGUGGGAAUCGUGCACAGUGGACGAAGCUAGAGUGCAGCAACGCUG